rnacentral:lncRNA from 1 species
UUGUAUACGCAGAUUAGUUUCGUGAAAUGGGAAGUAAAGGAGAAGCAGAAGAAAGAAUCCUUGAUCUGAACCCAAAUAAAGAUAAAAGAUAAGCGGUAGAACUGAAUUGGGGAUGCAGGGCGUGGAGAUAAAUGAUUACUUGGUGUUGCAUCACUGAUUGUUGAUAUAGGUGCUGCUAAUGUAGAACCGUGGAUGAAGCAGAGGAAGACCAAAGAAGAAAGUUGUGAGAUGUAGGAUUCUACAAUCUACAUCCAUCGCUUUUUGACAGAUACAUACUACAUCAUGAUUACUUGAAGUUGCAUUAGUUAUGGUGGUGGUCCUUGAGUCAAUUGGAGCAGCGAGAUGAGACGAAUUUUGACCGAUGGCAGCCUCGCGGUGGCUGUUUGAACCAGAAUCGGUGAAGACGGCUACGUAUGAAUCAUAAUCACUGAAGGGCGGUAUGAUGAGAGAUGUGAAAAUGAUGAACUUUGUAGGGACCCUCCUAUUACAUCGGUAUUUGGCACUUCUGUAUACAUGUUAAUAAAUUUAUGACUUGAGGGGUGUUUGGCAUUAUGUUGGGAUACUGAUUAUCAGAUAACACCAAAUUAAUAAAACAUCUAAAUAAUAAUUGAUAAAGACAAAUGCAUAUAAAGAACUACUUAUACUACAUUUUAUUGUGCUGAAAAUGCAACGAUUACAAAGCAACAUAAUUUC